rnacentral:tRNA from 2 species
GCAGUCGUGGCCGAGUGGUUAACGCGAUUGACUAGGAAUCCAUUGGGGUCUCCCCCGCACAGGUUCGAAUCCUGUCGACUGCG